rnacentral:ribozyme from 14 species
GAAUAAGGAGAACAUGCUGAAUUGCAUCAUCUUUCUUCUUUUGUUUUGUUUCUUUUCUAUUAAAAAAUGAGAGAAAUAAUAAGGUUUGCUGUUUACUGGUUGC